UACGUAGGGUGCAAGCGUUAAUCGGAAUUACUGGGCGUAAAGCGUGCACAGGCGGUUUUGUAAGUCUGACGUGAAAUCCCCGGGCUCAACCUGGGAAUUGCGUUGGAGACUGCAAGGCUAGAAUCUGGCAGAGGGGGGUAGAAUUCCACGUGUAGCAGUGAAAUGCGUAGAGAUGUGGAGGAACACCGAUGGCGAAGGCAGCCCCCUGGGUCAAGAUUGACGCUCAUGCACGAAAGCGUGGGGAGCAAACAGG
rnacentral:rRNA from 1 species